AAUUAUGAUAAUUUUAAAGUUUGAUGAUUGUGCACAGUCAUGCUUGUCUGAAUGUGAAUUACUCCCGUUUUUCAGUAGGCCUUAAAGGAGCGGUGUCAAGGUUUUCCACAGCAGCUACAUGUUUCAGCCAUAUCAGAAUCAAAGCUUAAAAUACAAUAUCAGAUGACGUUUUCUGAAUCUUCUGGGUAAUUCUGGUGGGAUAUUAUGGCAAUGUCAAGGGCAAAGCCCAGUUCUAUCGUACAUUUGAGGACCCUUGCAGCCAGGUGCAAAUGUUGGUGCACGAUCCUUUGCUGUGUGCCAUGUACAGAGGACAACGUUGGAUCUAAUCACUUCUUAGAUUUCCUAAAAAUGACUGCUGACUCUAGAUGCUUUCGGAAACAUGAAGUAGGUUUCCCAUCUUCCAAGUCACUUGCAUUGUUGAAAUUUGAAUAUCUGACUAACAUGAAAUUUUCUGCCGCGAAGUAUUUGAGCCCAUAGUUUUGAGUUAUCUUUUAGAUACCAAAAAUCUCCUUUUUCUGCUAACCAAUGAUUUUCUCUAGGUUGUUGCAUGAAUCUAGAUAGGACUCCAACAACAAAAGAAAUUCCCAUUCAUGUUGUCGUUGCAUAGCUGCAGGUAUUUAGUUGUAUUGACAAAGGCUGCAAAAUCAUCUGAUGUUAGUUUGAACAUUGCUUCACAGAUGUACUAAGUGGUUUGUUACUGAACAUUUUAAAUUUGCUUAGAAGUUCAUUAAUAUAUUUUUGU